AGUGAACGCUGGCGGUAGGCCUAACACAUGCAAGUCGAACGGCAGCACAGUAAGAGCUUGCUCUUACGGGUGGCGAGUGGCGGACGGGUGAGGAAUACAUCGGAAUCUACUUUUUCGUGGGGGAUAACGUAGGGAAACUUACGCUAAUACCGCAUACGACCUACGGGUGAAAGCAGGGGAUCUUCGGACCUUGCGCGAUUGAAUGAGCCGAUGUCGGAUUAGCUAGUUGGCGGGGUAAAGGCCCACCAAGGCGACGAUCCGUAGCUGGUGUGAGAGGAUGAUCAGCCACACUGGAACUGAGACACGGUCAAGACUCCUACGGGAGGCCGCAGUGGGGAAUAUUGGACAAUGGGCGCAAGCCUGAUCCAGCCAUAGCGCGUGGGUGAAGAAGGCCUUCGGGUUGUAAAGCCCUUUUGUUGGGAAAGAAAAGCAGCAGGUUAAUACCCCGCUGUUCUGACGGUACCCAAAGAAUAAGCACCGGCUAACUUCGUG
rnacentral:rRNA from 1 species